UGUGGGAGUGAGCGGGCUGUGACAUCUGUCAUUUCUGAUUGCCAGGGUUGAUUCGGUGAUCGGCUAGCUAGGUAAAUACCUCCUUCUUUCCUCACCAC
rnacentral:snRNA from 1 species